rnacentral:rRNA from 1 species
AUUGAACGCUGGCGGCAGGCUUAACACAUGCAAGUCGGGCGAGUGGCGGACGGGUGAGUAAUGCUUGGGGAUCUGCCUGAUGGCGGGGGAUAACUACUGGAAACGGUAGCUAAUACCGCAUACCAUCAGAUGAACCCAUAUGGGAUUAGGUAGUAGGUGAGGUAACGGCUUACCUAGUCGACGAUCCCUAGCUGGUCUGAGAGGAUGAUCAGCCACACUGGGACUGAGACACGGCCCAGACUCCGACGGGAGGCAGCAGUGGGGAAUAUUGCACAAUGGUGGCAAGCCUGACGUAGCCAUGCCGCGUGUAUGAAGAAGGCCUUCGGGUGGUAAAGUACUGUCGGUAGGGAGGCGUUACCGACAGAAGAAGCACCGGCUAACUCCGUGCCAGCAGCCGCGGUAAUAC